UCCACAAGAGAAGAUCAUCUUAAACUUCUAAGCGCAAAAUGUAACUUCGCUUUACUGUUUUUUCCUUCUAGUGGUUCGGUCCUAUGAUGCAUAAUUUAGUAAUCUCACUGCGCUGCCCGUUGACGUUGCACGUCGUUGCUCCCGGUCUUGGAACCGGUUGGAGCAGUGCUCGUGUAACUAGAAUACGGACCAGUCGUAUGAGGAAUUGGCGUGGCUGAAGGACAUGUUUUUGAUUCACGAUUCCCUGGUUGACUUCUCCCUCUUUGCAGAUACAGAGUUCUUAACUGGAGCGAGACAAUUCAUUACCUGACAAGGUAGCAGCACGAAAUAAGGCUCGAAAGCUUUGUACUAUAGUUCUCUCACUGUGACGAAUCAAACCACAGCGGCUUGAUAAAAAUCUUUGGUGAAUCGGAGUCUGGG